AUUGAACGCUGGCGGCAGGCUUAACACGUGCAAGUCGAGCGGGGUGAUGGUGCUUGCACUAUCACUUAGCGGCGGACGGGUGAGUAAUGCUUAGGAAUCUGCCUAUUAGUGGGGGACAACAUCCCGAAAGGGAUGCUAAUACCGCAUACGUCCUACGGGAGAAAGCAGGGGAUCACUUGUGACCUUGCGCUAAUAGAUGAGCCUAAGUCGGAUUAGCUAGUUGGUGGGGUAAAGGCCUACCAAGGCGACGAUCUGUAGCGGGUCUGAGAGGAUGAUCCGCCACACUGGGACUGAGACACGGCCCAGACUCCUACGGGAGGCAGCAGUGGGGAAUAUUGGACAAUGGGGGGAACCCUGAUCCAGCCAUGCCGCGUGUGUGAAGAAGGCCUUAUGGUUGUAAAGCACUUUAAGCGAGGAGGAGGCUCUUUUGGUUAAUACCCAAGAUGAGUGGACGUUACUCGCAGAAUAAGCACCGGCUAACUCUGUGCCAGCAGCCGCGGUAA
rnacentral:rRNA from 1 species